UACCCCACUAUGCCUAGCCGUAAAAAAUUAACUCACACUAACAAUACGCCCGGGUAUUACGAGCGCAAGCUUAAAAUCCAAAGGAUUUGACGGUGUUCCACCCACCUAGAGGAGCCUGUUCUAUAAUCGAUAACCCUCGAUAUACCCAACCACUUCUUGCUCUCAGCCUGUAUACCUCCGUCGCAAGCCUACCAUCUGAACGUCACAAAGUAGGUCUAAUGGGCCACCCGUCAAUACGUCAGGUCAAGGUGCAGCCCAUGAAGUGGAAAGCAAUGGGCUACAAUUUCUAAAAUAGAACAAACGAAAUACUACAUGAAAAAUAGUCAUGAAGGCGGAUUUAGUAGUAAAAGAAGAAUAGCGUGCUUCUUUUAAUAAGGCUCUGGAACGUGUACAAACCGCCCGUCACCCUCUUCAAUAGCUCUCUUCUAGUUUCAUAACACUAAUAAGCGUCUUAGAAGAGGUAAGUCGUAACAUGGUAAGUGUACUGGAAAGUGCACUUGGUUAAACAAAGUGUAGCUUAACUAAAGCCUCUCGCUUACACCGAAAAAAUACCUGUUAAACCCAGGUCACUUUGAGCCUAUAAUCUAGCCCUAUCACCCAUGCAUAUUUACUUUACUUAACCAACACAUACUAAAACAUUUUAUUAUUAUAGUAGAGGCGAUCAAAAAAUAUAUUAGCGCUUCAGAUUCAGUACCGCAAGGGAAAGAUGAAAUAAAAAUGAAACAAAUUAAGCAC
rnacentral:rRNA from 1 species